UCUCUCUACCAUGCUCCCUCGUGGUUCCCACAAUUCCAAGCACAUGCUGUGCUGGUAAUUGUGGGAACCGCAAGGGAGCAUGGUAGAGAG